GGCGUUGUAGCUCAGUUGGGAGAGCAGCAGACUGAAGAGGCUGGUGAGAAGGCGGCUAGUCGCGGUAAUAUCUGAAGGUCCGGUGUUCAAGCCACCGCAAUGCCA